rnacentral:rRNA from 1 species
GACGAACGCUGGCGGCGUGCUUAACACAUGCAAGUCGAACGGUGAAGCCCUUCGGGGUGGAUCAGUGGCGAACGGGUGAGUAACACGUGAGCAACCUGCCCCUGGCUCUGGGACAACCACUGGAAACGGUGGCUAAUACCGGAUACGACCCGCCUCGGCAUCGAGUGUGGGUGGAAAGUUUUUCGGCUGGGGAUGGGCUCGCGGCCUAUCAGCUUGUUGGUGAGGUGAAGGCUCACCAAGGCGACGACGGGUAGCCGGCCUGAGAGGGCGACCGGCCACACUGGGACUGAGACACGGCCCAGACUCCUACGGGAGGCAGCAGUGGGGAAUAUUGCACAAUGGGCGAAAGCCUGAUGCAGCGACGCCGCGUGAGGGAUGACGCCCUUCGGGUUGUAAACCUCUUUCAGCUCCGAAGAAGCGAAAGUGACGGUAGGAGCAGAAGAAGCACCGGCUAACUACGUG